CCCAAAAUUUUCCCCUCUUCUUCGCAGUUUAUCAGUAUUAAAAAUUUAAUACUCGCAUUUCGCUUCUUCACCCUUUUCAAGGUCAUUUCUUUCGCCUCUUCUUUCUUUUUCUCGGAUCUUCUUUCUCCCUCUCAGCAAAGAUCUCUGAUUUUUUCUGUCUCCUUUUCGUUCGCUCUCUGCUUGGUUGCUGAGAAAAUAGAGGCUGGAAAUAGGCUUGUCGAACCCCCGUCGUCAGUCGCUGAGCUUAUCCCUUUCCUAGACGUUGAUGAAGAACCUGCAAUUAGAACAAAUACCACCAUAUUAUUGGGAAACAUUGCAAGCUACCUAAAUGAAGGGAUGGGCCAUGAGUUCCUUAACUCUUAAAGGCAAAGCUAAUCAAGCUCCAGGCUUGGCAAAUAUUCAGGCAGCUCAGAAGCGUCCUGUUUCGCAACCAGUUUGACAGCCUAAACCACAAGGUCAAUGAGUUCAAGUCUAUAGAAAAGUUCAAAAUUUUCAAUACAAACAAUUUGAGGUCAAUGGAAUCAAGGUUCUUCAACUGGAAAUUGCAACUGGUGCAGCAAUUAGGGUAUAAAAUUGUACCAAUUAUGGUUAUGAUGUAUUAAAAUGUAAAAAGAUUUGUCUAACCAUGUGUUUUCCUUACGUGAUUAAGUUCUUUGAUCAUGUUAUUGGUAUCAACGUACCUCGAUCACAAUUCUUUAUACGUCUUGUUCAUGAAUUUCCAUUUUAAUAUGUCUUCAAAUUAAAUUAUACAUUUCUAAA